rnacentral:rRNA from 1 species
UACGUAGGGACCAAGCGUUGUUCGGAUUUACUGGGCGUAAAGGGCGCGUAGGCGGCGUGGUAAGUCAGCUGUGAAAUCUCCGAGCUUAACUCGGAACGGUCAGCUGAUACUGCUGUGCUAGAGUACAGAAGGGGCAAUCGGAAUUCUUGGUGUAGCGGUGAAAUGCGUAGAUAUCAUGAGGAAGACCAGAGGCGAAGGCGGGUCUCUGGACAGUUCCUGACACUGAGGCACGAAGGCCAGGGGAGCAAACGGG